CCAUGUACAAACAACCCUUGUCAAAAUGGAGGAGUCUGCACAGUAACUGGAGAUGACUAUUACAGCUGUAAAUGUGCUGAGGGAUAUCAUGGAAACAAUUGUGAAAAAGUGAGCCCAUGUAAAUCACUUCCAUGUAAGAAUGGUGGAACAUGCACAAUGAGUGGUCCUGAUUCAUUCUUUUGUACAUGCACUGACGAGUUUAAAGGAGAAACAUGCGAAAAACGACUCCCUUGUCCACCUGGCAAAAAGACAGACAAUCCGCAUGGUCGCUGUUGUGUUUUUCCUUUUGUGUAUGGGGGGAGGAAGUACGAAUCUUGUACCAAAGUCGCUCAUAACAGAUUGUGGUGUUCAUUAGACAAAGUUUACAAAGGUCAUUGGGCCA